rnacentral:rRNA from 1 species
AGGACAAAACGCUGGCGGCGUACCUAAGACAUGCAAGUCGAACGGGCUGCAGAUCUUCGGGUUUGCAGUGAGUGGCGAACGGGUGAGUAACGCGUAGGAACCCGCCUCGACGUGGGGGGAUACCACUUGGAAACAGGUGCUAAUACCGCAUGUGGUCGGAAGAAGAAAGGCUCGAGUAAUCGAGUCGCGUUGAGAGGGGCCUGCGUCCGAUUAGCUAGUUGGUAGGUAAAGGCUUACCAAGGCGACGAUCGGUAGCUGGU